GCCCAUGCAUAUCCAGAAACAGUUUGGAGCAAAAACUGAAUGUCUAGCAUUAAAAAUCUAACUAAAGUGACCAUAGCAAUAUUAAUAAAAACAGUUGGAGCAAAUUGAAAGUCAAUUAAUAAAGUUUCAUUAAAGUGGUAUCCAGAAAAAACAGUUAGGAUUAAAACUAAAUGUCUAGCAUAAGGUGUCUAACUACAGUGACCAUAGCAAUAUUAAUAAAAACAGUUUUGAACAAACUGAAAGUUAAGCAAUAAAUGAUUAACUAAUGACAAUUGCAAUAUUCAGUAAAACAGUUUGGAGCAAAAUACUCUGACCUGUGCCUUGGCUGGUAA